rnacentral:tRNA from 1 species
GGCACUGUGGUGUAGUUGGUUAUCACGUUUCCUUUACACGGAAAAGGUCAAGGGUUCGAGCCCCUUCGGAGUCA